rnacentral:rRNA from 1 species
CCUACGGGGGGCUGCAGUGGGGAAUAUUGGACAAUGGGGGCAACCCUGAUCCAGCCAUGCCGCGUGUGUGAAGAAGGCCCUCGGGUUGUAAAGCACUUUCAGCGAGGAAGAACGCCUGGUGGUUAAUACCCAUCAGGAAAGACAUCACUCACAGAAGAAGCACCGGCUAACUCCGUGCCAGCAGCCGCGGUAAUACGGAGGGUGCGAGCGUUAAUCGGAAUUACUGGGCGUAAAGCGCGCGUAGGUGGCUUGAUAAGCCGGUUGUGAAAGCCCCGGGCUCAACCUGGGAACGGCAUCCGGAACUGUCAAGCUAGAGUGCAGGAGAGGAAGGUAGAAUUCCCGGUGUAGCGGUGAAAUGCGUAGAGAUCGGGAGGAAUACCAGUGGCGAAGGCGGCCUUCUGGACUGACACUGACGCUGAGGUGCGAAAGCGUGGGUAGCAAACAGGAUUAGAUACCCGGGUAGUC